AAACUUUCAACAACGGAUCUCUUGGUUCUGGCAUCGAUGAAGAACGCAGCGAAAUGCGAUAAGUAAUGUGAAUUGCAGAAUUCAGUGAAUCAUCGAAUCUUUGAACGCACAUUGCGCUCGCCAGUAUUCU
rnacentral:rRNA from 1 species